rnacentral:rRNA from 1 species
GACGAACGCUGGCGGCGUGCUUAACACAUGCAAGUCGAGCGAUGAAGCUCCUUCGGGAGUGGAUUAGCGGCGGACGGGUGAGUAACACGUGGGUAACCUGCCUCAUAGAGGGGAAUAGCCUUUCGAAAGGAAGAUUAAUACCGCAUAUGGUAGCUUUAUCGCAUGGUAGUGCUAUUAAAGGAGUAAUCCGCUAUGAGAUGGACCCGCGUCGCAUUAGCUAGUUGGUGAGGUAACGGCUCACCAAGGCGACGAUGCGUAGCCGACCUGAGAGGGUGAUCGGCCACAUUGGGACUGAGACACGGCCCAGACUCCUACGGGAGGCAGCAGUGGGGAAUAUUGCACAAUGGGGAAACCCUGAUGCAGCAACGCCGCGUGAGUGAUGACGGUCUUCGGAUUGUAAAGCUCUGUCUUUAGGGACGAUAAUGACGGUACCCUAAGGAGGAAGCCACGGCUAACUACGUGCCAGCAGCCGCGGUAAUGCACG